UGGUGGUGUGAAUUGUCUGGUUGAUUCCGUUAACGAACGAGACCUUUGUUCUUAAAUAGUCACGGGAAGGUAUUGCGUCAAGGCCUAGGUGGGCCAACUUGCAGAAGGGCUAGUUCCCCUGUGAGUUGCAGAUCUGCCUAGGUUGCAUUGCUUCCUGGAAGAACUUCUUAAGAAGACUAUACGUGACAAGCGUAUGGAAGUUGGAGGCUAAAACA
rnacentral:rRNA from 1 species